rnacentral:rRNA from 1 species
AGCCUGAUGCACGGCGCCGCGUGAGGGAUGACGGCCUUCGGGUUGUAAACCUCUUUCUCUAGGGAAGAAGCGAAAGUGACGGUACCUGCAGAAGAAGCGCCGGCUAACUACGUGACAGCAGCCGCGGUAAUACGUAAGGCGCAAGCGUUAUCCGGAAUUAUUGGGCGUAAAGAGCUCGUAGGCGGUUUGUCGCGUCUGCCGUGAAAGUCCGGGGCUCAACUCCGGAUCUGCGGUGGGUACGGGCAGACUAGAGUGAUGUAGGGGAGACUGGAAUUCCUGGUGUAGCGGUGAAAUGCGCAGAUAUCAGGAGGAACACCGAUGGCGAAGGCAGGUCUCUGGGCAUUAACUGACGCUGAGGAGCGAAAGCAUGGGGAGCGAACAGGAUUAGAUACCCUGGUAGUCCAUGCCGUAAACGUUGGGCACUAGGUGUGGGGGACAUUCCACGUUUUCCGCGCCGUAUCUAACGCAUUAAGUGCCCCGCCUGGGGAGUACGGCCGCAAGGCUAAAACUCAAAGGAAUUGACGG